AGUGAACGCUGGCGGUAGGCCCAACACAUGCAAGUCGAACGGCAGCACAGUAAGAGCUUGCUCUUACGGGUGGCGAGUGGCGGACGGGUGAGGAAUACAUCGGAAUCUACUUUUUCGUGGGGGAUAACGUAGGGAAACUUACGCUAAUACCGCAUACGACCUACGGGUGAAAGCAGGGGAUCUUCGGACCUUGCGCGAUUGAAUGAGCCGAUGUCGGAUUAGCUAGUUGGCGGGGUAAAGGCCCACCAAGGCGACGAUCCGUAGCUGGUCUGAGAGGAUGAUCGGCCACACUGGAACUGAGACACGGUCCAGACUCCUACGGGAGGCAGCAGUGGGGAAUAUUGGACAAUGGGCGCAAGCCUGAUCCAGCCAUACCGCGUGGGUGAAGAAGGCCUUCGGGUUGUAAAGCCCUUUUGUUGGGAAAGAAAAGCAGCAGGUUAAUACCCCGCUGUUCUGACGGUACCCAAAGAAUAAGCACCGGCUAACUUCGUG
rnacentral:rRNA from 1 species